rnacentral:sRNA from 1 species
GUUGGUCAUGCGUUUCUCCUGCGUUGCUGAAAUGAGUCAAGCAGGAAAAUGGCUCGCGUCAAGUUUUGGGGUGGUCUCGAAUUUCGUCCACCUCGAGAAUCAAAAAGUCUGAAAAAAAAGUCUUAAAAGAAAGAAGCAAGAGCGCACUGAUGCAAUGUCUUCGACAUAGCGCGCGCCAGGUGCUACGCCCCCGGACCCCCAAGC